rnacentral:rRNA from 1 species
GAAUAUUGGACAAUGGGCGCAAGCCUGAUCCAGCCAUGCCGCGUGUGUGAAGAAGGCCUUCGGGUUGUAAAGCACUUUUGUUGGGGAAGAAAAGACACCGGUUAAUACCCGGGGUUUCUGACGGUACCCCAAGAAUAAGCACCGGCCAACUUCGUGCCAGCAGCCGCGGUAAUACGAAGGGGGCAAGCGUUACUCGGAAUUACUGGGCGUAAAGCGUGCGUAGGUGGUUCGUUAAGUCUGUCGUGAAAGCCCCGGGCUCAACCUGGGAAUGGCGAUGGAUACUGGCGGGCUAGAGUGCGGUAGAGGAGAGUGGAAUUCCCGGUGUAGCAGUGAAAUGCGUAGAGAUCGGGAGGAACAUCAGUUGCGAAGGCGGCUCUCUGGACCAGCACUGACACUGAGGCACGAAAGCGUGGGGAGCAAACAGG